AGAAUAGAACCAUUUGGCAGCUUACAAGAAUUUCCAGAAAGUACCAGGAACUCCAGGAACUGGUUAAGAAGUCAGAGUACCCCAGGUGAGCACAAAGCUGAGAACAGCUGCAUUGAAAUGAAGGGACUAACACUAGAAC